UUUUACUUUGAAAGCGUGGUGUAUUUAUAGCGGAUAUUCCCCUUCCAGGUUCUCAUUCUCGGCUUGGACAUACUUUGCUGGUAGCUAUCAAGACUGCUAUGCUCAAGAUGGUGCGAAAGAAGUUGUGCAGAAUCGCCACAUGCAGACGCAUGCUCAAGGAUAGGAUUUUUUGACCUUUGACCUGGAAAUAAUGGCUCAACUGCAUGAGGCACCUCCAAGAGCAGGUCCGAGCCGUAAGAUGGUGGGGGUGGUGACCAGACCAUGUCAGUGUUGGUGAACAGUGACGGGGCUUCCUGAUUGGGUGUUGCCCUGGCAGGAAGAAGUGAACCAGGCCCCUCCAGAGAAGGUAAAGACCCAAAGAUGCAGCUGGGAUGGGUGGACCAAGCCGUAGGGCGUCGGCAGUGACAACAACAUGUCAGUGUUGCAGGUCCUGUUGAGCCACCUGUUCCCAGGACCCACCCUGUAGGUCCUCCUGGUACGGGCCGUUUGGAGGUGAGGGCUGACUCUGCUUUAGGUCUUCUGGAACCCCCGGUUCUACUGCAUUACAAACUAAAACUUAUUUCAGAUGACUUAUUCUACCACUAAAAACUUCUUCAGGACAAUUUUUCCUCUUUAAAUCUAUUUUCAAAUAUGGAAAAGUGGUGGUAAGAAUUAAAAAGCACAAAUUAUUGCAUUUAAACUUUACGUGUCUGCUUAAUAGUCUAUAGCUCUACGAGAGACUCUACCCUCUAUACUUGACUAGCUGCAAGCCACCUAUUGGAGGCAUCCUGUGCGCUGUGAUGAUGUCAUUCCUACAUUCGCAGUUUGCACCUGAGGUCUUCGGACCAGUGACGGCCCAAUACUUCCUUGGAUGUCUGAGCGCUCUAUUAAAUGGUCGUCUGGGUUUAGAGCUUCUGUCUGAUGGUCUGCUGCCCAAUCCUCAACCGCCUUCUCUUGUUACAGCUCCAUGAUGUCUAAGCCGGCCCGUGGCGACCUCGGCAUCUGAAUUGUGAAACUUUUCAAUAAAACAUGACAAAAAAAACUA